UGGGGAAUAUUGCGGCAAUGGGGGCAACCCUGACGCAGCAACGCCGCGUGCAGGAAGAAGGUCUUCGGAUUGUAAACUGUUGUCGCAAGGGAAGAAGACAGUGACGGUACCUUGUGAGAAAGUCACGGCUAACUACGUGCCAGCAGCCGCGGUAAUACGUAGGUGACGAGCGUUGUCCGGAUUUACUGGGUGUAAAGGGCGCGUAGGCGGACUGCCAAGUCAGUCGUGAAAUACCGGGGCUUAACCCCGGGGCUGCGAUUGAAACUGACAGCCUUGAGUAUCGGAGAGGAAAGCGGAAUUCCUAGUGUAGCGGUGAAAUGCGUAGAUAUUAGGAGGAACACCAGUGGCGAA
rnacentral:rRNA from 1 species